rnacentral:rRNA from 1 species
AACGAACGCUGGCGGCAUGCCUAACACAUGCAAGUCGAACGAGACCUUCGGGUCUAGUGGCGCACGGGUGCGUAACGCGUGGGAACCUGCCCUUAGGUUCGGAAUAACUCCCCGAAAGGGGUGCUAAUACCGGAUAAUGUCUUCGGACCAAAGAUUUAUCGCCUUUGGAUGGGCCCGCGUUGGAUUAGCUAGUUGGUAGGGUAAAAGCCUACCAAGGCGACGAUCCAUAGCUGGUCUGAGAGGAUGAUCAGCCACACUGGGACUGAGACACGGCCCAGACUCCUACGGGAGGCAGCAGUGGGGAAUAUUGGACAAUGGGCGAAAGCCUGAUCCAGCAAUGCCGCGUGAGUGAUGAAGGCCUUAGGGUUGUAAAGCUCUUUUACCCGGGAUGAUAAUGACAGUACCGGGAGAAUAAGCUCCGGGUAACUCCGUG